GGAGCCACAGGGAGGGACACCAAUCUAGGCUUAGGAAAAGAAAUCUGCCAUGUGAGUCUUGGAGAUUGCCUACCAUGCUAAUGACUUA
rnacentral:pre_miRNA from 1 species